rnacentral:rRNA from 1 species
UACGUAGGGGGCUAGCGUUGUCCGGAUUUAUUGGGCGUAAAGAGCGUGUAGGCGGCCAGGUAGGUCUGCUGUGAAAACUCGAGGCUCAACCUCGAGACGUCGGCGGAAACCAUCUGGCUAGAGUCCGGAAGAGGAGAGUGGAAUUCCUGGUGUAGCGGUGAAAUGUGCAGAUAUCAGGAGGAACACCGGUGGCGAAGGCGGGACUCUGGGCCGAUACUGACGCUGAGGAGCGAAAGCGUGGGGAGCGAACAGG